CUUGAUAGAGUUAAUUAUUUGGCCUGUGUUUUGUUUAGCUUUUAAGAGGAGAGCUUGGUGCUGGUUUAGAAUUCUGAGAGUGGGUGUGUGUGCUUGCCUUUAGAAGCACUUCAACUCCUGAGCUUGAGGUUUUCUUGGUGGCCAUAGUUGCAGUCCUGGGAUCUUGCUUCCUCUUUGGUUGGAGAUUUGGUAGAGAAUCUUAGUGCGUGGGACUUGGUGAACCCGACAGUGUAGCUCGGAGCCAGGAGAAAAUCAAGCUUAGGAUCGAUGGGUUGUUCUGGGGCUCCUUCUGUAAUUGUGGACUUGUCAAACAUUUGUUCUUGAGGUUGUGAAACCUGGGUGUUAUUUUUAUUCUAUAUGAUUGAGACUUGUAUCUUAUUUGUAUUAUUUGACUUGUAAACUACUUGUGUACUCUGUAGGACUGUCUUAGUCCGUAUCUUAUUAUCUCUAUUUCUAUGACUCUA